UACGUAGGGUGCAAGCGUUAAUCGGAAUUACCGGGCGUAAAGCGUGCGCAGGCGGUUUUGUAAGUCUGUCGUGAAAUCCCCGGGCUUAACCUGGGAAUGGCGAUGGAGACUGCAAGGCUAGAGUUUGGCAGAGGGGGGUAGAAUUCCACGUGUAGCAGUGAAAUGCGUAGAGAUGUGGAGGAACACCGAUGGCGAAGGCAGCCCCCUGGGUCAAAACUGACGCUCAUGCACGAAAGCGUGGGGAGCAAACAGG
rnacentral:rRNA from 1 species